UACGGAGGGUGCAAGCGUUAUCCGGAUUCACUGGGUUUAAAGGGUGCGUAGGCGGGUUGGUAAGUCCGUGGUGAAAUCCCUCAGCUUAACUGGGGAACUGCGUCCGAUACUGGAUGGCUUGGAUUUGGGAGAGGGAUGCGGAAUUCCAGGUGUAGCGGUGAAAUGCGUAGAUAUCCGGAGGAACACCGGUGGCGAAGGCGGCUUCCUGGACCGACACUGACGCUGAGGCGCGAAAGCUAGGGGAGCAAACGGG
rnacentral:rRNA from 1 species